rnacentral:misc_RNA from 1 species
CGUGCUGCUCACCUUAAAAGGAUUAGCUGGACAUGUCGUGAGAUUGGUUCUACUUGGCGUAAUAAGUAUUUCGCUGAGGACAUCCCCUCGUGGGGUGGCCAAGACUCUAGUGCAAACGUCUGCUUUCUAACCCGAUCGUCCUCGGACAUCACUUUUUAUGAUCUGGCCUCAAAUCAGGUAGGACUACCCGCUGAACUUAA